CAGGGAGACAACAAAAUGUUUAUAUUUAAUUUUGUCACCUUAGGUCGAUCGGUACCUCAGAUUUUCAAUUAUUUUGAGAAUUUCAAUUCCUAAGUUUUUCUAGGUCACACCCAUUUCUUUCCCUGGGCCAUUAGCUCAGGUGGUUAGAGCGCACCCCUGAUAAGGGUGAGGUCCCUGGUUCAAGUCCAGGAUGGCCCAUAUCUCUAUGUUGGGGGUAUAGCUCAGUUGGUAGAGCGCCUGCUUUGCAAGCAGGAUGUCAGCGGUUCGAGUCCGCUUACCUCCACUGAUUACGACCUCUUCCAUACUUUGAGAAGGGAAUUGUUAUGAGGUGUGAUUUGAUCCUGAACGAUUCUAGCUUCCUAAUAAAAAAAAUUAUUAAGAUGCUGGACUCAUUGAAUUUAUUCAUUGUUUUCAGAGAACCUUGACAACUGCAUAGAUUUUUUUUAAAGACAAUAAGCAUCUUUAAUGAUGCAGAUUUAUUAUUUGUGCUAUAUGCAUUUAAUAACAAUUCUAUUGAGCUGAUGCUUCA
rnacentral:tRNA from 1 species